rnacentral:rRNA from 1 species
AUUGAACGCUGGCGGCAGGCCUAACACAUGCAAGUCGAGCGAGAGGCGGACGGGUGAGUAAUGUCUGGGAAACUGCCCGAUGGAGGGGGAGAACAACUGGAAACGGUGGCUAAUACCCCCUACCAUCAGAUGUGCCCCGAUGGGAUUCGCUAGUAGGUGGGGUAAAGGCUCACCUAGGCGACGCUCCCUAGCUGGUCUGAGAGGAUGACCAGCCACACUGGAACUGAGACACGGUCCAGACUCCUACGGGAGGCAGCAGUGGGGAAUAUUGCACAAUGGGCGCAAGCCUGAUGCAGCCAUGCCGCGUGUGUGAAGAAGGCCUUCGGGUUGUAAAGCACUUUCAGCGGGGAGGCGUUACCCGCAGAAGAAGCACCGGCUAACUCCGUGCCAGCAGCCGCGGUAAUAC